UUGGCUCUUGCCCCUUUCUCUGUUAGACAACAAGGCAGUUCAAAACUCUCACAGAUACUGUCCUUCACCACCAAACCUCACAGAAAAGCACCUGUCCGCAGCCCACCGUACGGAGCACAUCGCCACGGCCACUGUCGCAAAUCACCACCGCCACAGCCUCAGAUCACAGUUUGAUUUCGAAACUUCUAGGGUUUGAUUUCUAGACAUAAAUCCCAAAUUCAAGCUCAAAACAGGCCAUCCAGAUGGAUAGCUUGGAGGAUCAUCUUUUUGCAAGAAGCGACAAUAGAGGAGAGAACAAUGAUGGAACACAAAAGGAGGCCCCUUUCUAUUGAUCAAAGCGGUCUCACUACUUUUUCACCAAAACGACACAAGGCUAAUUUGUCCAUCUCCUCCAAGGAGAGGAAAGAGAAGCUUAGCAAAAGAAUUGGGGCUCUGCAACAGCUUGUUUCACCAUAUGGGAAGGGUUUCGAGCAUGGUGUUGUAGUCUCCGAUCGGGUACACUAGUAAGGCAUUGUGGAUCGUUGGUACCACAAACUCCUUAAUCAUCGAGAUGAAGAACAAGGAAUCAUGGUUUUUGUUUUGCUAUAGUUUUGGCCCUUGAGGCUACAAGUUUCCAGUUAUGUAGUGGAGGUGUUUGUGGCAAGGUCUCUGAAAGGAUUUUGGGGUAUCCUUUUGUUUUGUUUUGUUUGUGCUUACCUUUGGAAGUGUUGAAUACCUUAAGAGACAGUUUUCAGCUAUUCUUCACUUUCUGAUUUCCUUGGUGGGUUUCUCAAUGGAAGUCUUCUUCCAUAUCAAUGAUCUGAAUCUAUAUAGAUGGAUAAACUUGUGCACGAAGCUAAAUUGUACAGGACUAAUUGGCACUUGUUACAUUUUUUGAAGAAUUAUAUAUUUUUGCAUAGAUUUGUAUCGAAAAUAUUUGGGUAGUACAAGUUAUAUUUUUUAGAUGCAUAUGGAUAAAAAUUUAAAACAUAAUACCUAAUUGUUAUGUUUUAAAUUUUUAUACUAGAUGGAUGUGAAUUGGAUGAUUAUAUGGAUUUCACGACCUUUUUAAUUGGACGAUUAUGUAGUUUGGAAUUACUUG